CGCAGCCGCGGUAAUUCCAGCUCCAAUAGCGUAUAUUAAAGUUGUUGCAGUUAAAAAGCUCGUAGUUGAAUUUCGGGAUCUGUCUAUCGGUCGGGCUUUAUUGUCCGCACUGAUUUGAUGGAUUCUUACCUUCUGAAUAACCAUCAUGCCAUUAAUUUGGUGCGUUGGGGAAGCAGAGCUAUUACCUUGAAAAAUUAGAGUGCUUAAAGCAGGCUAGCGCUUGAAUAGAUUAGCAUGGAAUAAUAAAAUAGGACGGCAUGGUUCUAUUUUGUUGGUUUCUAGGAUCACCGUAAUGAUUAAUAGGGAUAGUUGGGGGCAUUAGUAUUCAAUUGUCAGAGGUGAGAUUCUUGGAUUUAUUGAAGACUAACUACUGCGAAAGCAUUUGCCAAGGAUGUUUUCAUUAAUCAAGAACGAAAGUUAGGGGAUCGAAGACGAUCAGAUACCGUCGUA
rnacentral:rRNA from 1 species